rnacentral:rRNA from 1 species
CUCCGGGUGAUCCUGCCGGACCUGACUGCUAUCGGAUUGGUACUAAGCCAUGCGAGUCGUUGUAGCAAUACAAGGCGGACGGCUCAGUAACACGUAGUCAACCUAACCUAUGGACGUGGAUAACCUCGGGAAACUGAGAAUAAACCGCGAUAGAUCAUUAUGCCUGGAAUGGCUUAUGGUUCAAACAAUUUAUUGCCGUAGGAUGGGACUGCGGCCUAUCAGCUUGUUGGUGAGGUAAUGGCCCACCAAGGCUAUAACAGGUACGGGCUCUGAGAGGAGGAGCCCGGAGAUGGGCACUGAGACAAGGGCCCAGGCCCUAUGGGGCGCAGCAGGCGCGAAACCUCUGCAAUAGGCGAAAGCUUGACAGGGUUACUCUGAGUGAUUUCCGCUAAGGGAAUCUUUUGGCACCUCUAAAAAUGGUGCAGAAUAAGGGGUGGGCAAGUCUGGUGUCAGCCGCCGCGGUAAUACCAGCACCCCGAGUGGUCGGGACGAUUAUUGGGCCUAAAGCAUCCGUAGCCGGUCCUGCAAGUCUUCCGUUAAAUCCAGCUGCUCAACAGAUGGGCUGCGGGAGAUACUACAGGGCUAGGAGGCGGGAGAGGCAAGCGGUACUUUAUGGGUAGGGGUAAAAUCCGCUGAUCCAUAGAAGACCACCAGUGGCGAAGGCGGCUUGCCAGAACGCGCUCGACGGUGAGGGAUGAAAGCUGGGGGAGCAAACCGGAUUAGAUACCCGGGUAGUCCCAGCUGUAAACGAUGCAGACUCGGUGAUGGGUUGGCCUCGCGCCUGCCCAGUGCCGCAGGGAAGCCGUUAAGUCUGCCGCCUGGGGAGUACGGUCGCAAGACUGAAACUUAAAGGAAUUGGCGGGGGAGCA